AAGCAGUCUCUCAGAAGAGUGUGCCUCUGAGCGCUCACUGAGGCCUUUUGUUACUUUGUUUCAGUUAUUGCAGGUCAGAGCAGAUGGUCAUUUCCAGCAGCGAACACUGUCUGCUGCCUUCUACACGUGGUACAGAGGUUGGCGAUGGCACCAGCAGAGACGGAUCCUGCACACAAGAGCAGUGCGUUUUCACAGGCUAUACUGCAGGCAGAGUAGCAGCUUUUUCGUAGGUUCUGGUUGGUGAGGCACCAGCAGGCAGCAGUGUGUCACCUGGAGUGACAGCAGCAAGCCAUGGCCAUUGCCCACCACCACAGCGGACUGCUCAGGAGGGCUUUCUGCAUCUGGAGGGAAAGCACCCGAGGAUUUAGGAUAGAGAGGAUGGGCAGGGCACAUGCUGCGCACUUCCACGCUGCAUGGCUCCUGCAUCGGGCCUGGAGCAUGUGGAGG
rnacentral:lncRNA from 1 species